rnacentral:lncRNA from 1 species
AGGACGAGAUAUAUAGUUAGGACAAAUAGAUCUUUCCGAGCCUGAAUAAACUGAAUAGGAAUAAGAAUCCUAAUUCAAAUCCUAUUUUUUUAUAUAUAGCAUAAUCCAAAUAGAAUUUUUUUUUUAUUUUGAGUAAUUUGAAUAGGAAUUCUAAUUGAAUACUUUUUGUUUGAGAAUCUGCUUUCAUAUUUUUCUAAACUAUUUUUGCAUGAAACCGUAUAUUUCCCAAACUUUGUCCAUAUGUAAUGUAUAUAUACGUAAUGGUUUAUAGGUUAUGUUUUACAAUUGGUUUUUUAGCUGUUCCGAUUUAGAGGAAAUAAUAGUAUAGAUACAAAAUAGGAAAAAAUGGAUCUCAAUUUAGAAGUUGUGAACAUGGUGUCUUUGAGUCCAAAUCUGAUUCCACAUCGGUCGAUCAAUGCUUCGUUUUGAUUUCUAAUUCUUUUUUUGAAUUAUAGGAUUUUCAUUAUGUUGGUAUAAAUUAACUAUACUCCUUUAAAUAAGAUUUAAGUAAGAUUAUCCGCAAGUGCACAGAUAUCAUACCAAUAUCACAUUUUACCCGAGGGUUUUAAAUAUCGUAUCCAUAGGGAAGGUCUAUAUGCAGGACUUAUAACUAUAACUUAUACUAUUGGUG